rnacentral:rRNA from 1 species
AGCGUGGAGACAGGUGGUGCAUGGCUGUCGUCAGCUCGUGUCGUGAGAUGUUGGGUUAAGUCCCGCAACGAGCGCAACCCUCACCUCUUGUUGCCAUCAGGUCAUGCUGGGCACUCUAGAGGAACUGCCCCGGCCAACGGGGAGGAAGGCGGGGAUGACGUCAAGUCAUCAUGCCCCUUACGUCCUGGGCUACGCACGUGCUACAAUGGCCGGUACAAAGGGAUGCCACACCGCGAGGUAGAGCUAAACCCAAAAAGCCGGUCUAAGUUCAGAUUGGAGUCUGCAACUCGACUCCAUGAAGGAGGAAUCGCUAGUAAUCGCGUAUCAGCACGACGCGGUGAAUACGUUCCCGGGCCUUGUACACACCGCCCGUCACACCACGAAAGCCUGCUGUACUCGAAGUCGCUGAG